CCAGACUCCUACGGGAGGCAGCAGUGGGGGAUAUUGCACAAUGGGGGAAACCCUGAUGCAGCGACGCCGCGUGGGCGAAGAAGUAUUUCGGUAUGUAAAGCCCUAUCAGCAGGGAAGAAGAAAUGACGGUACCUGAGUAAGAAGCACCGGCUAAAUACGUGCCAGCAGCCGCGGUAAUACGUAUGGUGCAAGCGUUAUCCGGAUUUACUGGGUGUAAAGGGAGCGCAGGCGGCACGGCAAGCCUGAUGUGAAAGCCCGCGGCCCAACCGCGGGACUGCAUUGGGAACUACCGGGCUGGAGUGCAGGAGGGGCAGGCGGAAUUCCUGGUGUAGCGGUGAAAUGCGUAGAUAUCGGGAGGAACACCGGUGGCGAAGGCGGCCUGCUGGACUGCGACUGACGUUGAGGCCCGAAAGCGUGGGGAGCAAACAGGAUUAGAUACCCCUGUA
rnacentral:rRNA from 1 species